UCAGGAAACUUCUCAAGCAGUUUAAAGAGUGAGCAGAAGGUUAAAUGUUGAAUGGUUUCUCUGAUAUGAGAAACCCAAAAUAGAAAUAAUUCAAAGAACAAAAUAAAAGAUGACAGGAAACAUCGAUUUUGUGGAAACAGAAGGGGAUAGUGGAGCGGGGAGUACGACCCCCCAUUUCACUCAGAUCCGAAGAGGGUGUGAGCUGGGACGCGCGGAGCCCUCCCAAUGAACGCGAGUGUGCGCGUCACAAACGCGAGCCAGUAGAGCGCUCGCUUCGGCGCACAUACACGUGUGCACCAUAGUACUAAUAAAGUCACCUGGGGCCCUGGAACAAACCCCAACAAAUUUCAAACGUCUUCAACAAUUAAAAAAUGUUCUGCGACCACAGAGCACUUAAGGUAAAAAUGCACAACGAUGGGCUGGAACUUCCUUUCACGGACUGCAGGGCUGACGGCUGCAGGACACGGGCCGCCCGAAGACCACUGAGCUAAGCACUGCACACCGAUUCAAGUGUGCAUGUGUGCAGCACCUGAUGACUGCAGUCCCAGUGGGGGGCUGGGCGCGCACACGCCAGCUUCCCAUGGGGAUUCCGCAUCGCACGCUACGCGCGUGUGCUAAUACGCCGCAAUAAUAAACAGAUGCAGGGGAAGAA